ACUCAUUCACACCCAGGUCCAAACUCCUGGAAGGAAACCAACCAAACAAAAAAGGUAAUGAUGCCCAGAAAACUGCUCACAAAAUGUUAGUGCAAAUACAUAUGAGGAUAAAGCAGUAAGAGAGGUAUUGAAGGACAGAAUGACUUAGCCAUAGGAUUGUUUUGCCUUGUCUGUCUUUGAUUGAAAGGAUAAUAAAGGAUGUUCAUAAAAGCUAUUCUCAGGCUAGGGCUGAUAAAUAAUUGUAUUUGACUGCAUUCUGCUCUCGUGAAUUCCCACUUGUGGCUGAGAGUUGAGGCUGUGAUUUUCAUUUUUGCUUUAAUUAUACAAAUAUGAUAAGAGGUUCUUGUGCUCCUUUUCCCCAACAGGGAGAAGGAAGCUCAGAACAUUAAACAGUUUACAAAAGGGUGCACCUUUGAUUGGCCUCAGGCAAUCUACAUGACUGCAUCCAGGAUUAAAAUACAGUAGCUGUGGUUACCUGCUUUGCACAAAGGAACCAAAGCUUCCUGUGGGCACAGCAGCCUAAGGCAUGGCUGGUGAGUAAGCUUUCACACCCCUCAAUGGACUCUGGAUAGAAAGUCAAUUGCUUUUUAAGGACAUUUGUGCUUUUGAAGCCCUAGAAUCAUAGAAUAUCCCGAGUUGGAAGGGACCCAUAAGGAUCAUUGAGUCCAACUCCAUCGAGUCCAACAAGUAGGAAGG
rnacentral:lncRNA from 1 species